rnacentral:rRNA from 1 species
AGGACGAACGCUGGCGGCGUGCCUAAUGCAUGCAAGUCGCACGCAUCCUUCGGGAUGAGUGGCGCACGGCUGAGGAGCGCGUGACUAACCUGCCCCCGGUGUGGGGGGAUAACAGGCCGAAAGGUCUGCUAAUCCCGCAUACGAUCGCCUUCGGGCGAGGAAAGCCUUCGGGCGCACUGGGAGGGGGUCGCGCCCCAUUAGUUAGUUGGUGUGGUAAUGGCGCACCAAGACGAUGAUGGGUUCCGGGUCUGAGAGGACGAUCCGGCAGACUGGGACUGAGACACGGCCCAGACUCCUACGGGGGGCAGCAGCAAGGGAUUUUCGGCAAUGGGCGCAAGCCUGACCGAGCAACGCCGCGUGCAGGAUGACGGCUUUCGGGUUGUAAACUGCUUUCGGGUGGGACGAUACUGACGGUACCACCAAAAUCAGGUCCGGCUAACUACGCGCCAGCAGCCGC